rnacentral:lncRNA from 1 species
AAGAACUCGCCCUGAUCAUCCAGGGCAAGUAGAAAGUAGGCGAAAGACUUGAACGACUCAGAUGAGCUCGAGGACGAGGGUUCCAUUGCAUUUGCAGAGACCCGAAGAAAAAAAAAUCUAUGCGUGCGUUCAUGUCUUAAUAUUCUUUCACAAGCAAGAAAGAAAAAGAAAACAGAAAGAAGAAAAAAACCGGACUCUAGCUGCUCUUAUUUAUUAAGUUAAUAGCUCUAUCUAAGCUAGGACCCUUAGGCUUCUCUUGAU